rnacentral:rRNA from 1 species
AUUGAACGCUGGCGGCAGGCCUAACACAUGCAAGUCGAGCGAGCGUCGGACGGGUGAGUAAUGUAUGGGGACUGCCCGAUAGAGGGGGAUAACUACUGGAAACGGUAGCUAAUACCGCAUACUAUCGGAUAACCCAUAUGGGAUUAGAGAGUAGGUGAGGUAAUGGCUCACCUAGGCGACGAUCCCGCGCUGGUCUGAGAGGAUGAGCAGCCACAAUGGGACGGAGACAAGGCCCAGACUCCUACGGAGGCAGCAGUGGGGAAUAUUGCACAAUGGGAGCAAGCCUGAUGCAGCCAUGCCGCGUGUAUGAAGAAGGCCCUAGGGUUGUAAAGUACUUUCAGUCGGGAGGCGUUACCGACAGAAGAAGCACCGGCUAACUCCGUGCCAGCAGCCGCGGUAAUAC